CGGGGUGCAGCAGGCGCGAAAACUUUACAAUGCCGGCAACGGCGAUAGGGGGACCUCGAGUGCCAGGUUACAAAUCUGGCUGUCGAGAUGCCUAAAAAGCAUUUCAUAGCAAGGGCCGGGCAAGACCGGUGCCAGCCGCCGCGGUAACACCGGCGGCUCGAGUGGUAACCGUUAUUAUUGGGUCUAAAGGGUCUGUAGCCGGCCGGAUAAGUCUCUUGGGAAAUCCAGCAGCUCAACUGUUGGGCUUUCAGGAGAUACUGUCUGGCUCGAGGCCGGGAGAGGUGAGAGGUACUUCAGGGGUAGGGGUGAAAUCUUGUAAUCCUUGAAGGACCACCAGUGGCGAAGGCGUCUCACCAGAACGGACCUGACGGCAAGGGACGAAAGCUAGGGGCACGAACCGGAUUAGAUACCCGGGUAGUCCUAGCCGUAAACGAUACUCGCUAGGUGUCGGCCACGGUGCGACCGUUGUCGGUGCCGUAGGGAAGCCGUGAAGCGAGCCACCUGGGAAGUACGGCCGCAAGGCUGAAACUUAAAGGAAUUGGCGGGGGAGCAC
rnacentral:rRNA from 1 species